GGAACCCUGAGAGAUCUCUUUGUUCACCUGAGAUGUGUGUAAGCACACUGGAAUUUCCUGUACAUGUUCAACUUCCCUCCAUCCCUGUCCCACCUCAACUCUUCCCAUUCUUUGGCAACCACAAUCCUGGGUUCAACUUUUAUGAGCCCUUUAGGCUGUAAUCUCUGCAUUUCUGGAGUGUCUUAUCUUUCAUGAAUGACUUGAUCCCUGCCUUUCGCAUACCACCAACAGCUGAACUGAGGGACCAUGAGUGAAGUGAAAAGAGCAGACCUUUUGUACAUGGUAUGUUCAUCUUUCACAAAAUGCACCUUAAAAGUAAUCCUGAAGAGCAUAGUGUUAACCUGUGAAUCAGAGACAAGUGGGGACAUCAACCAGAAGAGUCAAUUGGCACUGCAAGGGGACCAAUAUCUUGGAGGAGAAGAUGCAGCUAGCUACCUCCGUAGUUUUGUGUGUCGUGGAUCACACAGAACCUUUGGAAGGAUAGAUGGUCAUCCUGAGUGUAUGCACAUAGUAAAGGAGUCUGGUCACUUCCCUUGAGGUCUGUAGACCAGAGUAGCACUUCAGCAGAAACAGAGAUGAGUGAGAAACAACUGCCCAACCCACACA